GCUACAGAGGGUCGGGGUGAUAAAUAACUAAAUAUAUCAAAGCAUACUAUGUGCGCAUACAUAAACAAAAACAAUUAAAUGUUACGUCACCUUCCCCGUCAACGCUGUGCAGUCUUUCUUGCAGUUCACACAUGGUACUCCGCAGAUCAGACACCGACUCCUCAAGCAUUUCUCUAUAACGAAGAGCCAGACGAUGCCGUUUUGCCGUGGAAAAUAACAACAUUUUUGUCUCUGCUUGCUGUUCCUGUUUGUGCUCCUCUUUUCCCUCAGUUCCUGCUGGCUGGUCAUCCGAGCUUUUGGCCAUGGCCUUGGCUGUGUGCUUGCCUGCAGUCUUCACGAUAGCUUUGACGCCCAGAUUGUCAAUGUUGUAUGCAGCCACACCGACAUUGACCACUGACUUGAUCGCAGUGUCUGUGGCUUGACCUGCAUCGUCACCAUACCUUCACCGCAGACAAUAUGGUGGAGUCAGAGAAAGGUGGACUGUGAGAGGAAGCUGAAGAACCUACGAAGACAUGGGGAGAACAUCCAGACUCUGCAGAGAAAGGCCCUGGCUGGUGGAUUCAAACCCAGAACCUUCUUGGUGUGAGGUGACAGUGCUAAACUGUGCUACACCGUGCCACACUACAUAUCAUCCAUCCCAAAUAAGUGACAGUUCAUGCUUGAUCCUUAUAGUAAGUAAAUACCUUGUACACUGCUGGCUGCCACAAACUUGGCUCCAUCAAAGUUGGAAGC